UACGGGGGGAGCAAGCGUUGUUCGGAUUCACUGGGUUUAAAGGGUGCGUAGGUGGGUUGGUAAGUCAGUGGUGAAAUCUCCAGGCUUAACUUGGAAACUGCCAUUGAUACUAUCAAUCUUGAAUACCGUGGAGGUCAGCGGAAUAUGUCAUGUAGCGGUGAAAUGCUUAGAUAUGACAUAGAACACCAAUUGCGAAGGCAGCUGGCUACACGAAUAUUGACACUGAUGCAUGAAAAGCGU
rnacentral:rRNA from 1 species